CCUACGGGAGGCAGCAGUGAGGAAUAUUGGUCAAUGGUCGGGAGACUGAACCAGCCAAGCCGCGUGAGGGAUGAAGGUACAGAGUAUCGUAAACCUCUUUUGUCAGGGAACAAAGGCGGGGACGUGUCCCCGGAUGAGUGUACCUGAAGAAAAAGCAUCGGCUAACUCCGUGCCAGCAGCCGCGGUAAUACGGAGGAUGCGAGCGUUAUCCGGAUUUAUUGGGUUUAAAGGGUGCGCAGGCGGUCUGUUAAGUCAGCGGUAAAAGCCCGGGGCUCAACCCCGGCCCGCCGUUGAAACUGGCAGUCUCGAGUUGGAGAGAAGCAUGCGGAAUGCGCGGUGUAGCGGUGAAAUGCAUAGAUAUCGCGCAGAACUCCGAUUGCGAAGGCAGCAUGCCGGCUCCACACUGACGCUGAGGCACGAAAGCGUGGGUAUCGAACAGGAUUAGAUACCCUAGUAGUC
rnacentral:rRNA from 1 species